UGAAGGUGACGCUUCCAAAUCAAAAGCAGUAAGUAAACGAGUUUGUUUGUAGUAAUGGUUGAAGUCAUAACUUGAGUAUUUAGAUGAAUUUUUGGCUCAAACUUUGAGAGAGUGUAAAGUUUUGUGUUCAAAAGCUAAAUAUACAAAUUUCGUGGCAUUUGAGCUUAUAUUUUGUGAGAUAUGAAGAAAAUUGUACGCAGGUAUAUAAAGAUAAGGGUUUGAAGCGGGUGUUAGGGAUUUCAAGA
rnacentral:lncRNA from 1 species